AGUGAUCGCUGGCGGUAGGCCUAACACAUGCAAGUCGAACGGCAGCACAGUAAGAGCUUGCUCUUACGGGUGGCGAGUGGCGGACGGGUGAGGAAUACAUCGGAAUCUACUUUUUCGUGGGGGAUCACGUAGGGAAACUUACGCUAAUACCGCAUACGACCUACGGGUGAAAGCAGGGGAUCUUCGGACCUUGCGCGAUUGAAUGAGCCGAUGUCGGAUUAGCUAGUUGGCGGGGUAAAGGCCCACCAAGGCGACGAUCCGUAGCUGGUCUGAGAGGAUGAUCAGCCACACUGGAACUGAGACACGGUCCAGACUCCUACGGGAGGCAGCAGUGGGGAAUAUUGGACAAUGGGCGCAAGACUGAUCCAGCCAUACCGCGUGGGUGAAGAAGGCCUUCGGGUUGUAAAGCCCUUUUGUUGGGAAAGAAAAGCAGCAGGUUAAUACCCCGCUGUUCUGACGGUACCCAAAGAAUAAGCACCGGCUAACUUCGUG
rnacentral:rRNA from 1 species